rnacentral:lncRNA from 1 species
CAGUUUCAAUCCAGGCCGUUGAUGAUGAUUCCCAGAUUGAAUCAGGGCUCUUGGAUCUUAUGACUUUUUUUAAAUGUUUAUGUUGCUCAGUUGACUUAGGUCCAUGAUGCGCGCGCAUGCCAUAACCGUUUGAUCUGCCAGAUCAUUUAAUGAAUUGGAUCUAACGCGUGUGGAUUUUCCUGAUUUUCUAAUUUCUGAUUUUAUUUUCUUUUAUUUCUUUUAAUUCCAUUUUAUUUCUAAAAUUC